GACAGAGCCUGCAUGAAAAAAAAACUGGUUUCACUUUCAAACAGAUGUAAUUUACCUUAAAUAAUUGUAUCUCAAUCUCUAAAUUGAACUUUAAUCACAUACAGGAGGCUCUUGCAGGGUCUAGCAAGCUAUUAACAUAGCAGGGGAUAAGAAAAUCUUAAUUAAACAGAACUUGUAAUAAAGAAAGCCUAAAUAGGGCUCUCUUUACAGGAAGUGUUUAUGGAAGGCUGUGCAAGUCACAUGCAGGGAGGUGUGACUAGGGUUCAUAAACAAAGGAAUUUAACUCCUAAAUGGCAUAAGGAUUGAGCAGUGAGGCUGCAGGGGCAUGUUCUAU